UACGUAGAGGGCUAGCGUUAUCCGGAUUUACUGGGCGUAAAGGGUGCGUAGGCGGCCAUUUAAGUCAGCGGUGAAAUUUUGCAGCUUAACUGUAACAGUGCCGUUGAUACUGUUUGGCUAGGAUUUGGUUGUAGUGUGCGGAAUGUGUGGUGUAGCGGUGAAAUGCUUAGAUAUCACACAGAACACCGACUGCGAAGGCAGCACACUAAGUCAUUAUUGACGCUGAGGCACGAAAGUGUGGGGAUCAAACAGGAUUA
rnacentral:rRNA from 1 species